CCCCUUAGAUGUUCUGGGCCGCACGCGCGCUACAAUGGUCUUCGCAAACGGAUGCAUUCUCGAAGGAGAAUGCCAAUCUUGGAAUCUAUGCCUUGGUCGGGACAGUUGCUUGCAAUUUUUCGACUCGAACCAGGAAUUCCUUGUAAUCGUGAUUCAUCACAUCACGAUGAAUACGUCCCUGCCCUUUGUACACACCGCCCGUCGCUCCUACCGAUCGAAGAGUUAGGUGAAUUGUUUUGAUCGAUAAGAUUUGACUAUGGUCAACUCUCGUUGUGAAAUUCUGUGAAUCUGACUGUUUAGAGGAAGGAAAAGUCGUAACA
rnacentral:rRNA from 1 species